rnacentral:rRNA from 1 species
UGGGGAAUAUUGGACAAUGGGGGGAACCCUGAUCCAGCCAUGCCGCGUGUGUGAAGAAGGCCUUUUGGUUGUAAAGCACUUUAAGUGGGGAGGAGGCUCUCUUGGUUAAUACCUAAGAAGAGUGGACGUUACCCACAGAAUAAGCACCGGCUAACUCUGUGCCAGCAGCCGCGGUAAUACAGAGGGUGCGAGCGUUAAUCGGAUUUACUGGGCGUAAAGCGCGCGUAGGUGGUUAAUUAAGUCAAAUGUG